rnacentral:lncRNA from 1 species
UCCGUCCUAACAAUCUUCCUUACAUAGACGAGUUAAAAAAAUGGGAAUACGUUGAGGUUGGGGAUACAUAUGGAAUCAUUUGGCACAAAGACCCCACCAUUGAGAACUCUCAUGGUCAUGCCUUUGGUAAGGAACUAAGGACCACAUCAGUGCAGACCCAAUGCCAUUUAUGUAGUAGCAAUGAACAGCAUGGACCAGUGGUUAA